ensembl:misc_RNA
GUCUGUUCUGAUGCCACCGCGAGAGUCCCCAAUGAAAGGAUUCCGCCGCGCUGCCUCUAUUAUUAUACCGUAAAUCUUUUUAAAUUCUGGAACUAAUUAUAUAGAGGAUAUGUCUCAAUUUGUUCUGCAUUAAUGCCACAGUGGGGAUGGAGGCCGGGCCGUGGCCAGAGCAGAUACGCAGGCCUAUGAAAUUGAUGAGCUGAGAGUUGCUUCUAGUCCUGAGCGCACCAUCUGGAAUUCCAGUCUGAGGUUACAAUUAGAACUCCUGACCCCAGAUUCAACUUUGCAAACAAC